CCGUUACGCUGAUCACUUUCUCAGGUUUUUCUCUUAGUAACAAAGUCAACCAGUCUCCUCCUGACGUGAUUGAGAGACAAGGAGAUUCAGCAAAAAUCCAGUGUUCACACAGUGUGUCCAGUUACGAUCAAAUCAACUGACGCUGCUGGUUGUUAUGAAAACAACAGUCAUCUAUUGUGCUCACUGAGAGGGAUCUGUCAGACGGGAAUCAUUAAGUGACAAAGUUCAUCAAACUCCAAAAGACAAGCUGGUUAAAGCACAAGAACCUGUUACACUCACCUGCUCUCACACAAUACCAAGCUAUAACAUGAUAUUAUGGUAUGAGCAGGUGAUAGGUGC